UGACCGUGUGACAGGGCCCAUUGAUUAGAAUCGUUUUGUUGCUAAAUGUGCGUGGAAUCGAAGCGGGGUUCGUCGCGGAAUAUUUUUGAUUUAGGUGUAAUCAAUUUAAAAAUAUUAAAGGCAAAUCCCUUGAUUUUAAGGUGCUCCUAACGUUGAAGGUGCUGCGGGCGGAAGGUACUGAUGCUGCUCAUGGCAAUGAAGGAGCUGAGGGCAGAAGGUACUGGUGGUGCUCCUGGCGAGGAAGAAGCUAAGGGCAGAAGGUUCUGAUGGUGCUCCUGGCGAUGAAGAUGCAAGCGUUGAAGGUGCUGAUGGUGAAUCCCAAAUCUGGAAAUAAACAAAAAUAUCAAUUAAAAUUUAUAAACAUAUAAAAAGUCUCAAUAUAUACCUCAAGAAUGUGACUAA